AAAACUAAAACGUUACUAAAAGAUAACGACAACACGGCUAUUAUCUGUUGUUCAUGGGAAGCCGGAAAGACAUAGGAUAUAAGAUAACGAUAAACUAUUGCAAUUAAAAAUACGAUUAUGAGCAUUGUUUGGUGAACCGGUAAAGUAUUGGUCCUGUUUUUUUCCUUGUAACACAAAAAUAAACAACAAUAACACCGAAAAAUCGU